GCAGCCGCGGUAAUACGUAUGGUGCAAGCGUUAUCCGGAUUUACUGGGUGUAAAGGGAGCGUAGACGGCUUAGUAAGUCUGAUGUGAAAACCCAGGGCUCAACCUUGGGACUGCAUUGGAAACUAUUAAGCUAGAGUGUCGGAGAGGUAAGCGGAAUUCCUAGUGUAGCGGUGAAAUGCGUAGAUAUUAGGAGGAACACCAGUGGCGAAGGCGGCUUACUGGACGAUAACUGACGUUGAGGCUCGAAAGCGUGGGGAGCAAACAGGAUUAGAUACCCC
rnacentral:rRNA from 1 species